GCUUAACACAUGCAAGUCGAGGGGCAUCAGGAACAUAGCUUGCUUUCUUUGCUGGCGACCGGCGCACGGGUGAGUAACACGUAUCCAACCUGCCCUUUACUCGGGGAUAGCCUUUCGAAAGAAAGAUUGAUACCCGAUAGCAUAAUGAUUCCGCAUGGUUUCAUUAUUAAAGGAUUCCGGUAAAGGAUGGGGAUGCGUUCCAUUAGGUUGUUGGUGGGGUAACGGCCCACCAAGCCUUCGAUGGAUAGGGGUUCUGAGAGGAAGGUCCCCCACAUUGGAACUGAGACACGGUCCAAACUCCUACGGGAGGCAGCAGUGAGGAAUAUUGGUCAAUGGGCGCUAGCCUGAACCAGCCAAGUAGCGUGAAGGAUGAAGGCUCUAUGGGUCGUAAACUUCUUUUAUAUAAGAAUAAAGUGCAGUAUGUAUACUGUUUUGUAUGUAUUAUAUGAAUAAGGAUCGGCUAACUCCGUGCCAGCAGCCGCGGUAAUACGGAGGAUCCGAGCGUUAUCCGGAUUUAUUGGGUUUAAAGGGAGCGUAGGUGGACUGGUAAGUCAGUUGUGAAAGUUCGCGGCUCAACCGUAAAAUUGCAGUUGAUACUGUCAGUCUUGAGUACAGUAGAGGUGGGCGGAAUUCGUGGUGUAGCGGUGAAAUGCUUAGAUAUCACGAAGAACUCCGAUUGCGAAGGCAGCUCACUGGACUGCAACUGACACUGAUGCUCGAAAGUGUGGGUAUCAAACAGGAUUAGAUACCCUGGUAGUCCACACAGUAAACGAUGAAUACUCGCUGUUUGCGAUAUACAGUAAGCGGCCAAGCGAAAGCAUUAAGUAUUCCACCUGGGGAGUACGCCGGCAACGGUGAAACUCAAAGGAAUUGACGGGGGCCCGCACAAGCGGAGGAACAUGUGGUUUAAUUCGAUGAUACGCGAGGAACCUUACCCGGGCUUAAAUUGCAGUGGAAUGAUGUGGAAACAUGUCAGUGAGCAAUCACCGCUGUGAAGGUGCUGCAUGGUUGUCGUCAGCUCGUGCCGUGAGGUGUCGGCUUAAGUGCCAUAACGAGCGCAACCCUUAUCUUUAGUUACUAACAGGUCAUGCUGAGGACUCUAGAGAGACUGCCGUCGUAAGAUGUGAGGAAGGUGGGGAUGACGUCAAAUCAGCACGGCCCUUACGUCCGGGGCUACACACGUGUUACAAUGGGGGGUACAGAAGGCAGCUAGCGGGUGACCGUAUGCUAAUCCCAAAAGCCUCUCUCAGUUCGGAUCGAAGUCUGCAACCCGACUUCGUGAAGCUGGGUUCGCUAGUAAUCGCGCAUCAGCCACGGCGCGGUGAAUACGUUCCCGGGCCUUGUACACACCGCCCGUCAAGCCAUGGGAGCCGGGGGUACCUGAAGUACGUAACCGCAAGGAUCGUCCUAGGGUAAAACUGGUGACUGGGGCUA
rnacentral:rRNA from 1 species